rnacentral:rRNA from 1 species
UACGGGGGGGGCAAGCGUUGUUCGGAAUUACUGGGCGUAAAGGGCUCGUAGGCGGCCAACUAAGUCAGACGUGAAAUCCCUCGGCUUAACCGGGGAACUGCGUCUGAUACUGGAUGGCUUGAGAUUGGGAGAGGGAUGCGGAAUUCCAGGUGUAGCGGUGAAAUGCGUAGAUAUCUGGAGGAACACCGGUGGCGAAGGCGGCAUCCUGGACCAACACUGACACUGAGGAGCGAAGGCCAGGGGAGCAAACGGG